rnacentral:rRNA from 1 species
GAUGAACGCUGGCGGCGUGCCUAAUACAUGCAAGUCGAGCGAACGGACGAGAAGCUUGCUUCUCUGAUGUUAGCGGCGGACGGGUGAGUAACACGUGGAUAACCUACCUAUAAGACUGGGAUAACUUCGGGAAACCGGAGCUAAUACCGGAUAAUAUUUUGAACCGCAUGGUUCAAAAGUGAAAGACGGUCUUGCUGUCACUUAUAGAUGGAUCCGCGCUGCAUUAGCUAGUUGGUAAGGUAACGGCUUACCAAGGCAACGAUGCAUAGCCGACCUGAGAGGGUGAGCGGCCACACUGGAACUGAGACACGGUCCAGCCUCCUACGGGAGGCAGCAGUAGGGAAUCUUCCGCAAUGGGCGAAAGCCUGACGGAGCAACGCCGCGUGAGUGAUGAAGGUCUUCGGAUCGUAAAACUCUGUUAUUAGGGAAGAACAUAUGUGUAAGUAACUGUGCACAUCUUGACGGUACCUAAUCAGAAGGCCACGGCUAACUACGUG